ensembl:lncRNA
GUUCUUCUUUGGUCAUAAAGUCCUUCCCCUUCCACAGGUCUGAGAGGUAAACUAUCCUGUGUCCCUCUAAUUUAUUAAUAAUUUCAUUCUUUAUGCCUAGGUCAUGAACCCAUUUUGACCUUAUCUUGGUGUAUGGUGUUAAGUGUGGAUCAAUGCCUAGUUUCUGCCAUAUUAGUUUCCAAUUUUCCCAACAAUUUUUAUCAAACAGUAAGUUCUUAUCCCAAAAACUGGGGUCUUUGGGUUUGUCAAAGACUAGUUUGCAAUAUUUGUUGACUGUUUUAUCCCUUGAACCUAACCUAUUCCACUGAUCAACUAAUCUAUUCCUUAGCCAAUACCAAAUGGUUUUGGUAACUGCUGCUCUAUAAUAUAAUUUUAGAUCUGGUACAGCUAGGCCACCUUCAUUUGAUUUUUUUUUUCAUUAAUUCCCUUGAAAUUCUUGACCUUUUGUUUUUCCAUAUGAAUUUUGUUGUUAUUUUUUCUAGGUCAUUAAAAUAGUUUUUUGGGAGUCUGGUAUAGCGCUAAAUAAAUAGAUUAGUUUAGAUAAUAUUGUCAUCUUUAUUAUAUUUGCUCGCCCUAUCCAAGAGCAUUUAAUAUUUUUCCAAUUGGUUAGAUCAGACUUAAUUUGUGUGAAAAGUGGUCUGUAAUUUUGCUCAUAAAGUUUCUGAUUUUCCCUUGGCAGAUUGAUUCCUAAAUAUUUUAUAUUAUCAGUAGUUACUUUAAAUGGAAUUUCUCUUUGUAACUCUGACUGUUGGAUUUUGUUAGUGAUAUAUAAGAAUGCUGAUGACUUAUAUGGGUUUAUUUUAUAACCAGCAACUUUGCUAAAGUUGUGGAUUAUUUCUAAUAACUUUUUAGUAGAAUCUCUGGGGUUCUCUAAGUAUACCAUCAUGUCAUCGGCAAAGAGUGAUAAUUUGGUUUCCUCAUUGCCUAUUCUUAUUCCUUUAAUCUCUUUCUCAGCUCUUUUUGCCAAAGCUAGCAUUUCUAAUACAAUAUCAAAUAGUAAUGGUGAUAGUGGGCAACCUUGUUUCACUCCAGAUCUUACUGGGAAUGGUUGCAGUUUGUCUCCAUUACAUAUGAUGCUUACUGAUGGUUUUAAAUAGAUGCUGAUGAUUAUUUUAAGGAAAAGUCCAUUUAUUCCUAUACUCUCAAGUGUUUUUAAUAGGAAUGGAUGUUGGAUUUUGUCAGACGCUUUUUCUGCAUCUAUUGAGAUGAUCAUAUGGUUUUUGUUAAUUUGGUUAUUAACAUGGCCAAUUAUAUUGAUAGUUUUCCUAAUAUUGAACCAGCCCUGCAUUCCUGGUAUAAAUCCUACUUGAUCAUAGCGUAUUAUCCUGGAGAUGAUUUUUUGUAAUCUUUUUGCUAAUAUCUUAUUUAAGAUUUUAGCAUCAAUAUUCAUUAGGGAGAUUGGUCUAUAAUUUUCUUUCUCUGUUUUCAACCUACCUGGUUUAGGUAUCAGUACCAUGUCUGUGUCAUAGAAGGAAUUUGGUAGGACUCCUUCAUUCCCUAUUUUAUCAAAUCAAGCUGAGGUUUUCAAUAGGUCUCAAUUUGACUGAUUCAGUAAUUAAGGUUAGGUAGUAAUUGAGGCCAUAAUCUCUUCUUUAGCUUGGUCCAAAAAAUCUAAAUAAAUUGAUAAGUGAGUGAAUGAAUCUGGGAGGGGAAGACCUUCAGGGAUUCUGGCCCAAAAAAAUUCAAUCUGAGUUAAUGAGGACAUCAACAAUGACCAAAUGGGGCUUGACCUAAAACCUAUUGUUGGCCAGUGAGAAUCAGAUUGGUUCUGGUUUAAGGUGUGGUCCUUAAGAAAGCCAUUUACAGGAUACAAAAUGAAUCCACAUAAAUAAUCAGCAUUUUUUUAAAAAUUUCCAACAAAGUCCAACAGCAAAAGAUGCAAAGAAAAAUUCCAUUUAAAAUAGAUGUUAAUAAUAUAAAAUAUUUGACAAUCUAUCUGCCAAGCCAAAGUCUUUAAUAUUAUGAAGGGCAAUUUCAAAAUACUCUCCACACAAAGUCAGAUCUAACCAAUUGGAAAAAUAUCAAAUGCUCAUGGGUAGGCUGAACUAAUAUAAUAAAAGUGACAAUAUUAUCUAAAUAAUCUACUUAUUAAGUGCCAUACCAAUCAAACUCCCAAGAAAUUAUUUUAUAGAUCUAGAAAAAGUAAUAACAAAGUGCAUCGGGAAGAACAAAAAGUCAAGGAAUUCAAGGGGAUUAAUGAAAAAUGCAAAUGGAGGAGGCCUAACUGUGCCAGAUCUAAAUCUAUAUCACAAAGCAGCAGUCAUCAAAAUCAUUUGGUAGGCUAAGAAAUAGAAUAGUUAAUCAGUGGAAUAGGUUAGGUUCAUAGGACAAAAUAGUCAAUGAUUAUGGUAACCUAGUGUUUCAUAAACACAGACCCCACAUUUGGGAUAGAAACUCACUAUUUGACAAAAACUGCUGGGAAAAUUGGAAACUAGUAUGGCAGAAACUAGGCAUUGACCCACACCUAAUACACUAUACCAAGAUAAGGUCAAAAUGUGUUCAUGAUUAACACAUAAAGAAUGAUAUUAUAAGGAAAUUAGAAGAACAUAGGAUAGUUUAUCACUUAGAUCUGUGGAGAAGAAAGGAUUUUGUGACCAAAGAAGAACUGGAAAGCAUUAUUGAACAAAAAAAUAGAUAAUUUUGAGUAUAUUAAGUUAAAAAGUUUUUGUACAAACAAAACUAAUGCAGACAAGACUGGGAAAAAACAUUUUUACAUCCAAAGAUUAUGAUAAAAAAAAAUCUCAUUUCUAAACAAUAUAGAUAACUGACUCAAAUUUAAUUCAAGUCAUCCUUCAAUUGAUAAAUUGUCAAAGGAUGUGAACAGAAAAUUUUUAGAUGAAGAAAUUAAAACUAUUUCUAGUUAUAUAAAAACGUGCUCUAAAUCUCUAUUGACCAGAGAAAUGCAAAUUAAGACAAUUCUGAAGUACCACUACACACUUCUCAGAUGGGCUAAGAUGACAGGAACAAGAUAAAGGUGAAUGUUGGAGGGGAUGUGGGAAAUAUAUUGUUGGUAGAGUUGUGAACUGAUUCAACCAUCCUGGAGAACAUUUUGGAACUAUGCCCAAAGGACUAUCAAACUGUGAAUACUCAUUGAUCCAGUGGUGUUUCUACUGUGUUUAUAUCCCAAAGAGACAUUAAAGGAGGGAAAGGGACCCAUAUUUGCAAAAAUAUUUGUGGCAGCCCUUUUUGUAGUGGCAAGAAACUGGAAACUGAGUGGAUGCCCAUCAGUUAGAGAAUAGUUCAAUACGUUAUGUUAUAUGAAUGUUACGGAAUAUUAUGUUUUAUAAGAAACAAUCAUCAGGAGGAUUUCAGAGAAGCCUGGAGAGACUUAAAUGAACUGAUGCGAUGGGAAGUGAGAGAUCAUUGUACAUGACAGCAAGAUUAUAUGAUGACCAGUAGGAUGUGGCUCUUUUCAACAAUGAGAUGAUUCAGACAAAUUCCAAUGAUCUUGUGAUGAAGAGAGCCAUCUACACCCAGAUAUAGGACUGUCUGAACUGAGCGUGGAUCACAGCACAACAUUUUCACUCUUUUUUUGUUUGCUUGCAUUUUAUUUUUUUCUCAUUUAUUC